UACGUAGGGUGCGAGCGUUGUCCGGAAUUACUGGGCGUAAAGAGCUCGUAGGUGGUUUGUCGCGUUGUUCGUGAAAACUCACAGCUCAACUGUGGGCGUGCGGGCGAUACGGGCAGACUGGAGUACUGCAGGGGAGACUGGAAUUCCUGGUGUAGUGGUGGAAUGCGCAGAUAUCAGGAGGAACACCGGUGGCGAAGGCGGGUCUCUGGGCAGUAACUGACGCUGAGGAGCGAAAGCGUGGGGAGCGAACAGG
rnacentral:rRNA from 1 species